GACAGAGGGUGCGAGCGUUGUUCGGAAUUACUGGGCGUAAAGGGCGCGUAGGCGGUCUGUUAAGUUCGGUGUGAAAGCCCUCGGCUCACCCGAGGAAGUGCGCCGGAUACUGGCAGACUUGAGUACCGGAGAGGAGGGUGGAAUUCCAGGUGUAGCGGUGAAAUGCGUAGAUAUCUGGAGGAACACCGGUGGCGAAGGCGGCGAUCC
rnacentral:rRNA from 1 species